CCUACGGGAGGCAGCAGUAAGGAAUAUUGGUCAAUGGACGCAAGUCUGAACCAGCCAUGCCGCGUGCAGGAUGAAGGCCCUCUGGGUUGUAAACUGCUUUUAUAGGGGACGAAAAAGGGACUUUCUAGUUCAACUGACGGUACCCUAGGAAUAAGCACCGGCUAACUCCGUGCCAGCAGCCGCGGUAAUACGGAGGGUGCAAGCGUUAUCCGGAUUUACUGGGUUUAAAGGGUGCGUAGGUGGGUCGGUAAGUCAGCGGUGAAAUCUUCAAGCUUAACUUGGAAACUGCCAUUGAUACUAUCGAUCUUGAAUCAUCUGGAGGUAAGCGGAAUAUGUCAUGUAGCGGUGAAAUGCUUAGAUAUGACAUAGAACACCAAUUGCGAAGGCAGCUUACUACGGAUGUAUUGACACUGAGGCACGAAAGCGUGGGGAUCAAACAGGAUUAGAUACCCUGGUAGUCCACGCCCUAAACGAUGGAUACUCGACAUACGUGAUAUACUAUGUGUGUCUGAGCGAAAGCAUUAAGUAUCCCACCUGGAAGUACGAUCGCAGAUUGAAACUCAAAGGAAAUUGAGG
rnacentral:rRNA from 1 species